UUGUUUCUAAACUUAGAGACACAGAGAAGCCUACAAAUAUGCUGAAUGAUCUGGGCUUAAGUCUGGAGAGCUCAUCCUGACCUCACAAAGGUUCUGUGUUGAUGGCAACAGUGAGAGUGGGAGUCUGUUUCCUCUGGAGCCCCUUCAGCCUCCCACAAGCACCUCUGAGUCCCAUCUCCACAAACACGAGCCAAGAGCACUUGUUUAGAGAUGUCCAGAACGUAUAGCUCUGGAGCUUGGGAGGAAAGACGAGACGAGUAUCUGGGAUCUGAAGCCAAGAAGUGAAGUUGCAGUCUUGGAGAUGGAUGCAAUUUGUGAGGGACGAUUAGAUAGAAUGAGAAGAGAUAUCCAAGGAUAAGACCAUUGGAAGCAUCAAUAUUUAUGGAGUGAGAAGGAAGAAAGGACAAAAAAGAGACAAAAGCAAUGGGUGUAGGGGUAAGAAGAAAAGCAGGACGGAAUGGUGUCUUCCUCGUAUUUUAGCAAACUGAACUCAUCACUCCUUAUUACCUGAGACUAUCAGGUGCUCUUCUGUUUCUAUGCCUUUACUUGUGACUUUUCAUUCUUUUAAAAAUACUUCCUAUUAAAAUCCAAGCCACUUCUCAGAG